CCUACGGGAGGCAGCAGUGGGGAAUAUUGCGCAAUGGGCGAAAGCCUGACGCAGCGACGCCGCGUGAGGGAUGAAGGUCUUCGGAUCGUAAAACUCUGUCAGCAGGGAAGAACGGUCACUGUGCUAAUCAGCAGUGAAUUGACGGUACCUGCACAGGAAGCACCGGCUAACUCCGUGCCAGCAGCCGCGGUAAUACGGAGGGUGCGAGCGUUAAUCGGUAUUACUGGGCGGAAGGCGCUCGUAGGCGGUAUGUCAAGUCAAGGGUGAAAUCCCCGCGCUCAACGUGGGAACUGCCUUUGAAACUGGCAAACUGGAGUGUGUGAGAGGAUAGUGGAAUUCCAGGUGUAGGAGUUAAAUCCGUAGAGAUCUGGAGGAACAUCAGUGGAGAAGGCGACUAUCUGGCACAUAACUGACGCUGAGGAGCGAAAGCGUGGGUAGCAAACAGGAUUAGAUACCCGGGUAGUC
rnacentral:rRNA from 1 species